AAACAUGUUUUUCUUAGAUUAGAUUAUAAUAUUUUAACUUUUAUAAUAUUUUUAAAAAACAUUUUAUUUAAUUUCAGAUGUUGAUGAUUGGUGUUUACAAUGUCAAGAUGUACCCGGGUGCUGCAGGUGAUAUUGAGCUAAUGCUGUCCGUAAUUCAUCUUCAAGCAAUUUAAAAAUUAAUAUUUCAAUUAUAAAAUAAUACACAUUGUAAUUAUGACUAUUUAAUUCAUACCUUGCGUAUUGAUAUUACUUGUUUAAAGGUAUAAUUUUUUAUGUGUUACACGAAUUAUUUAUGUUUGAAAAAUAUGUUAUGAAUAAACUGUUUAAAUGUAAUAAGUUGCAAACAAUUUAAUUUCCAUUAAAAUGUAUUUACACUUAACAAUAUAAAAUUGUAUUUGAAUGUAAUAUUCAA